rnacentral:rRNA from 1 species
GGAUUGAACGCUGGCGGCAGGCCUAACACAUGCAAGUCGAGCGGUAGAGAGGUGCUUGCAUCUCUUGAGAGCGGCGGACGGGUGAGUAAUGCCUAGGAAUCUGCCUAGUGGUGGGGGAUAACGUUCGGAAACGGACGCUAAUACCGCAUACGUCCUACGGGAGAAAGCGGGGGACCUUCGGGCCUCGCGCCAUUAGAUGAGCCUAGGUCGGAUUAGCUAGUUGGUGAGGUAAUGGCUCACCAAGGCGACGAUCCGUAACUGGUCUGAGAGGAUGAUCAGUCACACUGGAACUGAGACACGGUCCAGACUCCGUA